rnacentral:tRNA from 1 species
GGCAGUGUAGUAUAAUGGAUAGGGAAUUGGUCUUGAAACCUAAAGGUCACUGGCUCGAUUCCCCGGUAGGGCACUGCCG